AGUACAGCAGGAGUAAAGUUACAAGCCACAUGCCAUAAAUAGCAGGUGUAUUUUUCGGAAAUAUUUGGCAAUCCUGGCAAGUGUGAGGCGCAGCUUUUCUUUUUUUUUUUUCUUUAUUUUUAUUUUUUUUCUCCGCCAGGUGGGUCUCCGUGCUGGACUGGCGACUGUGCUCCCCGGAGGUCUCUCCAGCCCUGCCGCCCCACUACGAAUGGAGGGGAAAGGAGAAGCGCCUCAGCCCCGCCCAUGUCCCUCCUCUCUGCCCGGGACUUGCGCGUAUACAAAUCCAACACCCCCCUCGACCAUUACGCACCACAGAGAGUGGACCCAGCAUGGUCGAGAGGGGUUCGUCUGAGCUGGACGGUGUGGAUUUUUGGCAAAAGCGCGUCUAAAUGGGAUCACUUUGGCAGUUGGCACCCAAGGGAGGACACCCACCUGUGACCCGGGGCAGGACUGACCACAUCUCUUUGCGCAGCGUGGACAGCAACAGGGAAAGGCGCACUGAGGCUCUGCUACUCCACUUUUGUUAAUUAAACAUAAACUACAGAGAUCUAUGCGAGUCCAUUACACGAUGCGAGACUUUUCUUUGUCUACAACACAAGCGGGUACAAAGCACUGCGGUUGGAGUGGAGCUGUACGCGCACAGCAAAAGCAAGUAGCCCUCACUUCAAUGAAUGCAUUGAUAACCCUGCAAUGACACACAUCCUCCAUGAGUACAACAGCAGUAUUGCUUCAAUUCAACAGUUAAAGAAUGGAGGCACAACAAGAAAUGCCGUUACAGUAUGCUGAUGUAACACCUGUUGAAGGCAUCUACAUUCACAUUUGGCCCGCUCUUUGGAGCAUGUACUGCGACCUCACUUGCGGAGGAACUGGGAUGCAACAACAGGCACCUCUGUUUGAUAUCAAGCCAAGACAAGAAUAAUGAACGUGUUUAAAGCUUGGAAAGGACAAAGAGAGUGAAGUUCUUCAGCAGCAUGAAGCCCAUGAGGAGUGCAAUGGCUCCGCCCACCGCUGAGGCGAUGAUGAUGGUCAGCGUGUUGUCGACCACCCUCACUGCAAACAACAGAGGAGUCGCUGCACUGUCGUGAAAUGUUGUGGAUCACAUGUACAUCAAAUGUUUCAUGUUUAAUCACCGUUUAAUCCAGUGUACAAAAUCAAUGUGAAUAAAAGAUGUUUUUGUAGUCAUUUCCUCGUGUGUUUGACUCCCUGUCCCUGUCCCUGGCUAACAAACUAUCAUUGGUCUAUGGCACUGGUCUCAAAUUGAGGCCCCAUAUUUAACAUCGUUGUAUGACACCCCCCUAAGUGUAUGCUUAGCACCCUCCUCUACAGCAGAGAAGCAUGGACCAUCUAUGCAAGGCAUGAGAAGAGACUCCACAGCCUUGGCAGGACAAAAUCCCAGACACGGAGAUACUACAGCGA